GGGGAUAUGGCGGAAUUGGCAGACGCGCUAGCUUCAGGAGCUAGUCCGCCUUAAGCGGGUGAGAGUUCAAAUCUCUCUAUCCCCA
rnacentral:tRNA from 1 species